rnacentral:tRNA from 2 species
GGGCCGUUAGCUCAGUUGGUAGAGCAGCUGACUCUUAAUCAGCGGGUCGUAGGUUCGAAUCCUACACGGCCCACCA